rnacentral:rRNA from 1 species
UGGGGAAUAUUGGACACUGGGGGGAACCCUGAUCCAGCCAUGCCGCGUGUGUGAAGAAGGCCUUAUGGUUGUAAAGCACUUUAAGCGAGGAGGAGGGCACUGGCAUUAAUACUACCAGCUACUGGACGUUACUCGCAGAAUAAGCAUCGGCUAACUCUGUGCCAGCAGCCGCGGUAAUACAGAGGGUGCGAGCGCGAAUCGGAUUUACUGGGCGUAAAGCGCGCGUAGGUGGUUCGUUAAGUUGAAUGUGAAAGCCACGCACUAAACCUAGCGACUGCAUCCAAAACUUGCUAGCUAGAGUAAAGGAGAGAGUGGUAGAAUUGCCUGUGUCGCGGUGAAAUGCAUAGCUAUAGGAAGGGACACCAGUCGCGAAGGCGACCACCUGGGCUCAUACUGACACUGAGCUGCGAACGCGUGGGGUGCAAACAGG